rnacentral:rRNA from 1 species
AACGAACGCUGGCGGCAGGCCUAACACAUGCAAGUCGAGCGCGCCCUUCGGGGUGAGCGGCGGACGGGUGAGUAACGCGUGGGAACGUGCCCUUCUCUGCGGAAUAGCCUCGGGAAACUGAGAGUAAUACCGCAUACGCCCUUUGGGGGAAAGAUUUAUCGGAGAAGGAUCGGCCCGCGUUGGAUUAGGUAGUUGGUGGGGUAAUGGCCCACCAAGCCGACGAUCCAUAGCUGGUUUGAGAGGAUGAUCAGCCACACUGGGACUGAGACACGGCCCAGCCUCCUACGGGAGGCAGCAGUGGGGAAUCUUAGACAAUUGGGGCAACCCUGAUCUAGCCAUGCCGCGUGAGUGAUGAAGGCCUUAGGGUUGUAAAGCUCUUUCAGCUGGGAAGAUAAUGACGGUACCAGCAGAAGAAGCCCCGGCUAACUCCGUG